GCCGCUGCAUCCCUCAUUCCCUCCUCUCUCUCUCAGCCUGUUUUUGCGCACUCUGUUCGUUAUCUAACCAAGCCCAAUGGAUUCUUCUCAGUACUGCUAAGAGAAAAUCAGUUUGCUUUUUUCCUUCUCCUCUUUUUCUUGUCUAGGUCCCCACUGCCUCGCUCUGCUGCUCACCAGUUCUCCCCCCUCCCUUCCUCCCUCCGCCUCUCCCUGCUUUUGCUGGCUCUGCUUUCAUUCUAACCUCCCCCUCCUCUUCCCUCAAGGGAAUAAAGGUCAUUGCGCAAAUGAUUACUCAGACCUCGGUAGCCAUGGAAACGUGGUCAUGUGACAGGGACAGGCAUGCAUCGAGCACAACAAAGGAGCCGAUUAGUAAGCCAGCGAUGGAAAGCUAGCGCCUGCCUUUGUGUGCUUGCGUUCUCUGUAUUUCGCUCUAUCUCUCCCUUUCUCUGCCUAUGUGUUCAACUUGCUGGGGGAGGGAGAGAAGGAGUGCGCAAAAGAAAGCCUAGCAUGCUGCUUCUACCAGCGUUUCGCUUUGUUUAAACUAGCAGUUUGUCUUUGGUUUGUUCAUUAGAGAUUAACACUGACAUUUAGGCGCAUUUGCACAAGUUUAACCAAUCGGUUUGACAGAAGAAGUGUGUCCUAAAUCUUAAACCUUAAUUGAAAAGGCCGCUUCAUUGGGUGAAAUUAAUUGUAGAAGGUGACAUCAGGGAUACACUAAUGAUGGUAAAACUAGUUUUAAACAAAGUCCCUGUCAAGAAAAUUCAACUGACUCUGUGGCCAUAUUUGCAAAGCCUCCGGACAGCUAUUUUGGUACAGUCAAGUAGCUCUCAAGCGGAUAUUUAAGUUAUAAAGUGGGACUUGCAUCACCAGAGCUGCCUUGGAGCCACCAUAUUGUGCAUUGCAGUUUCUUCCAUUCUUACCAACUUGAUGAAGACAUGCUUCUUUUUCAUAAUGAUCAUUCUAGCUAAAGCAACCAGGGUGCCUUCCCUCAGAGAGGAACGUCACAUUUUUGAUUUUGACAGGACAGAAGAGUAUCCUGAACAUUUCAUCUUAGCACUGUUUUGCACACUGUGUACAUACGUGGGGGCAAGUAUGUGCGUGUGACUGUGUCUGCGUGUUUCAAGGGAUGGUGUAUCAGAUUGCCUUUGAAGCAACAAAAAACAUGAGUUGAGUCUGGGCACACACUCUGUUAUGACUGCACAGCUGUUUCCAAAGCUCAGCAGCAGACAGAGAGGCCUGUGGGUUAGUCCAGGGGCCUGUGGGUGGGGGCUGAGCCAACUGGCCCUCAUGUUUGGCCUUCUUGGUUAUUAAGUGCUACGGCGGAGCUGGAACCAGACUGUCCAAAGCCAAAGGGCUAGAUGGACAAUAAAUGUGGUGUGUUUGAAAUUGUCCAGAGGAAAGUAUAAUAGAUUUGAGGCUGCAGGUGAACUGUUUAAUAGAGAAAUAGUAAUUGUCAACAAAGAGACUGUGUGUGUGCGUGUGCAUAAGAGAGAUUCAUCAUUUAUAUCAUUUCAUAAUUUAAAAAAGAAUAAAGAUAUUUUAGUGCGACUCAAAGUAAUGCGUGUAAUGUUAACAUAUAAAAGAAUAGAUUGAACACUUGUAAUCACAGGCAAUAUCUAUAUAAUAGCUUUGAUGAUAGCUUAAUAAGCGCACCAGUAAUUCAGUGUAUUGUUUCUUUGUAUUCUAAUCUUGUGUUUGACUUAAAAUGGUUUCUUAAAUCUGUUUGGAUUUGGAGUCUUCCAUAGUCAUUUCCAUGUUACUUGAUUUGCAACUCAAUUACAAAAGUCAUUUUUUUCCCCCCAGCCAUACAAUAAAGGUAUGUAAGGUAGUAAAUUAUUUCAAAGAAAAGUAAUUUAUUUAUUUUUUAAGUAUUUGAACAAUUGGAUAUCUGAAUGUAUUGGCAGCAUCUUAAAUGUUUUCCACAUGCACAGUACUAUUUAAAUGUUUGAAGUCUCUCAUGCUCACCAUUACUACAUUUGUAUGAUCAAAAAUACAGCAAUAUUAUGAAAUAUUAUUACAAUUUAAAAUAACUUUCUUGUGUAAUUUAUUUAUGUAAUGGCAAAGCUGAAUUUUCAGCAUCCGUUACUCCAGUCUUCAGUAUCACAUGAUCUCUCAGAAAUCAUUAAUAAUCUGAUUUGGUGCUGAUUUCCUGUUAUUAGCGAUGUUGAAAACCAGUGCUGCUUAAUAUAUGUUGAAUAGAAAGUUCAAAAGAACAGCGUUUAUUUGAAACAGUAAUCUUUUGUAACAUAGUAAGUCUUUACUGUCAGUUUUAAUCAAUUUAAUGCGUUCUUGAAUAAACAUUUUUUUUAAACUAAAAACU